GCGUAAUAGCUCACUGGUCGAGUCGGCCUGCGCGGAAGAUGUAACGGGGCUAAACCAUGCACCGAAGCUGCGGCAGCGACACUAUGUGUUGUUGGGUAGGGGAGCGUUCUGUAAGCCUGCGAAGGUGUGCUGUGAGGCAUGCUGGAGGUAUCAGAAGUGCGAAUGCUGACAUAAGUAACGAUAAAGCGGGUGAAAAGCCCGCUCGCCGGAAGACCAAGGGUUCCUGUCCAACGUUAAUCGGGGCAGGGUGAGUCGACCCCUAAGGCGAGGCCGAAAGGCGUAGUCGAUGGGAAACAGGUUAAUAUUCCUGUACUUGGUGUUACUGCGAAGGGGGGACGGAGAAGGCUAUGUUAGCCGGGCGACGGUUGUCCCGGUUUAAGCAUGUAGGCUGGUUAUCCAGGCAAAUCCGGAUAAUCAAGGCUGAGGUGUGAUGACGAGGCACUACGGUGCUGAAGUAACAAAUGCCCUGCUUCCAGGAAAAGCCUCUAAGCAUCAGGUAACAUCAAAUCGUACCCCAAACCGACACAGGUGGUCAGGUAGAGAAUACCAAGGCGCUUGAGAGAACUCGGGUGAAGGAACUAGGCAAAAUGGUGCCGUAACUUCGGGAGAAGGCACGCUGGUGUGUAGGUGAAGUCCCUGCGGAUGGAGCUGAGACCAGUCGAAGAUACCAGCUGGCUGCAACUGUUUAUUAAAAACACAGCACUGUGCAAACACGAAAGUGGACGUAUACGGUGUGACGCCUGCCCGGUGCCGGAAGGUUAAUUGAUGGG
rnacentral:rRNA from 1 species